UACAGAGGGUGCGAGCGUUACUCGGAAUUACUGGGCGUAAAGCGCGCGUAGGCGGCUUUGCAAGUCGGGUGUGAAAUCCCCAGGCUCAACCUGGGAACUGCAUCCGAAACUGGCAGGCUUGAGUCUCGUAGAGGGGGGUAGAAUUCCAGGUGUAGCGGUGAAAUGCGUAGAGAUCUGGAGGAAUACCGGUGGCGAAGGCGGCCCCCUGGACGAAGACUGACGCUCAGGUGCGAAAGCGUGGGGAGCAAACAGG
rnacentral:rRNA from 1 species